UGACAGUGGCGGGGACAGUGUUAUGAGUCACCUCCUGUUGUUAUGGGUCACCAUCGCCUAGCCUCGGGGACCGAGGAGGACACGUGCCACAGCCACUCAAGCAGAAGCACAGGGUCUGCUGGAAUCUGGCAGGAAAUGGGGACAGUCCUACACGAGUCCCUCUCCUGGCCUGACCGACUCGGACUCGUAGCUACCGUGCUUGACUUCCCUGCUAUUCACUGCCCACGUGACCCAGCCUCCUUCACUACAGCAGCAAAGAGGCCAGAUGCUGAGGAUGCUAUGGGGGAAUGAGGAGGAGAGAGAGCAAAGAGAGGGUGAGCACAGGGCUGCGUGGAGAGGAGACAGCUGUGAGACAGAUCCGGGGGGAGACACACUGAGACACUAGUGCAAGGUGGAGGGUAAGCGGUGAGCAUGAGGCUGGGGGGACAGGGGUGAGAAGUAAGUGUGAGGCUGGGGGUGAGCAGUGAGUGUGAGGCUGAGGGGGGGUGAGCAGUGAGUGUGAGGCUGGGGGGUGAGCAGUGAGUGUGAGGCUGGGGGGGGUGAGAAGUGAGUGUGAGGCUGGGGGUGAGCAGUGAGCGUGAGGCUGGGGGUGAGCGGUGAGUGUGAGGCUGGGGGGGUG
rnacentral:lncRNA from 1 species